rnacentral:rRNA from 1 species
AUUGAACGCUGGCGGCAGGCUUAACACAUGCAAGUCGAGCGGAGCGAGGGUGCUUGCACCUUAGCUUAGCGGCGGACGGGUGAGUAAUGCUUAGGAAUCUGCCUAUUAGUGGGGGACAACAUUCCGAAAGGAAUGCUAAUACCGCAUACGCCCUACGGGGGAAAGCAGGGGAUCUUUGGACCUUGCGCUAAUAGAUGAGCCUCAGUCGGAUUAGCUAGGUGGUGGGGUAAAGGCCUACCAAGGCGACGAUCUGUAGCGGGUCUGAGAGGAUGGUCCGACACACUGGGACGGAGACACGGCCCAGACUCCUACGGGAGGCAGCGGUGGGGAAUAUUGGACAAUGGGCGGAAGCCUGAUCCAGCCAUGCCGCGUGUGUGAAGAAGGCCUUUUGGUUGUAAAGCACUUUAAGCGAGGAGGAGGAGCUCUAGGUUAAUACCCUAGAUGCUUGGACGUUACUCGCAGAAUAAGCACCGGCUAACUCUGUGCCAGCCGCCGCCGUAAAAC